AAUAACUAAAAUAUCCCCAAGUUUUUCGUCCACUCUCAACCCAAAUGAAAGGCGGUUCCGAUUGAUGAAAAGUUUUAAACAGCUGUACAAUUUGUUCAGCGGAAUGUAGGAUUUCCAAGGAAGAGAGCUAAAGAUAAAGAAAGAAAGAGAGAAAGAGGAAAAAUAUUUGGAACAUAUUGCUAAAAUCUGUGAAAAAGAUAAUUGUCAGGUGUCUACAGGAUAUUUCCAUAGCAACCAAGCGGCGCUACUGCAUCAUUGUAUAGCAUUGGCUAUGGAAAUUAUAACGUGAUGGAUCUCAUGGAAGUUACAAGCACUACAACCAAACCGAAAAUUUCAGUUCUCAAAUUAACUCCAGCCGUUAUUGCCGUAUGCGUUCUGGCUGGAUUAUGUUUAAUUCUUGGAGUUAUAUACGCCUACAUCUAUUAUACUCGUUUAAGGCCUAAAUCAACAAAAAUUCGAAAAUUUUAUCUCGAUUGCGCUGGCGAAGACGAGGGUAAUAUGACAACAUCUUCAGCGACCCAUACUCAUUUAUUUCUAUUUAAAAAAUGA
rnacentral:misc_RNA from 1 species